CAAACUACAAGUGUAUAAUCUU
rnacentral:siRNA from 1 species